AAAGUGAAGGGUGAUUUUAUUCAUCCUUCCUGUCUGGAUACUUUGGUGGCUCGCACGGCAGAGGAUGCCACUCUACAGAUACUCACCUCAGUCUUCAAUUACGGAUAGCCUAGCAAGCAGCAUUU